rnacentral:lncRNA from 1 species
UUCUUUCUCACUCUUCCCACUAGUCUCGUUGUUGACAAAGGUGCUGGUACUUUUUUGGAGGGAUUUCAGUUUGCAAGUUCUCUCUGUCUGAAUUGUUCUUUGAAAAUGGACUUCAUUAAUUCAAGAAUAAUGGCGGGAAAAAAGUAAAAAAAAAAAAAAUUUAAUUAUGUAAUCCAAGUCGGGGGAUGAGUUACGUAACGACCACGUGUUGAGGGAAGGCGGAUUUUGUAACGCCAUCCGGAUAUUACCAUACAGACGCACACAGCGGAACGGUAACCUCGUGUGCAACUUCAACACACACACACAAAAAGGAAAUGGUGUGACGAAUUUCGAUUUUGAAAAAGAGAAAACGAGUGACAUGAGACGACGGACAAGAGCAGACAGAAUUGUCUUGUUUCAUAGUUGCUUUUGCUUGACCUCGUGGUGCAUCUGUUAUCAGCACGGUAUCGAAUUUCCAUAUCCAAUUAAGAAGAAAAAGACUCAAUUUACACCUAAAUUGGAUAGGGGUAAAACAAAACCCUGUGCCGACAAAUAACAGGACAAAUUGAGUGUCGAAAAAGAAAAUGAAUUCAGAAAUGAGUGGGGGAGGUGGCGGAAAUGGGGGGGGGGAGAGAAAAACGAAAAAAAAAGGUAAAGUAAAGAAAUUAGAAUUUAGGAAAAAAAAGGGGUAGGUAGAGAAAACUAAAGAAAAAAAAAGGGGGGAAUCUGUUAUGAAGAAGGAAAAAAAAACCCAAAAAAAAGAAAAAUGAAACUUGUUUUGGGGUUCGGAAUUUGUUUCAUCCUCCUACUGCUGGCCAAUCCAGGUGAGAAAAUGUUCAGAUUGAGUGAGAAAGAAAAUGGCGUGUGUACACAGGGUUAUGGGACAGGUAAGGGCAUUGGGAGUUGAAAGCCUCUCAAUUCACAACGGGAUCUGACCCUGAUUUAUUUUUAUUUUUCUCCCUCAUUUUGCCCAUCACGUUUUCAACCCCUUUUUUUUUCAAUGUUAUUUUCACCUUCGAUUUGACGAAAUUUGUUUUUUGUUGUCCAUCUCACGAACGGACUCCAUUUGUUUGUUUUUAAAAAAUCAAGGUUUAGAAGCUUUGCCGGUCUGUACGAGCAACCGCGUGGGGGAGUUGUCAUGGAGCGCUCGCAGUGGCGACUUCCAUCAUCACCGAAAAGAAAAAUGUCGACCAGAGAUUUCAAACGAAAGGGAAAGGAGACAACCGUAACAAAAAGAAGAAGACAGCGUUUUUAUGGCAGGGGGGAAGUUGUGUGCCGGUGCACGGCUCCACGUCGCCGGCCUAUAGACCGCAAGACGCGGGCUAAACAAGUUUGAAAGCCGCGUUACCGUACACUGGGUUUUAACCUUGUAAAUAAAAAAACGAACGAAAAGUGAAAAUGUCGUCCGGAGGGGGAGCGCGGAAUAAUACAAGUCGAGGAGUAAGAGCCCGGCAUUCCGGCACCCAAUCCAUCGACAUACGGCCUUGAAAUAGUCAAGUCUCUCUCUUCUCUCCUCGUUUUCUUUUUUUUUCACUCUCUCUCUCACUAGAGAAGAUAGAAAUAUAAAUAAAAUGUAUAAAAUUGUACAUCGACAAAAGACUCCCUCCAUUCCCCCCCUCUUGAACCUUUUGACCCAACCCCCCUCCCCCGAGGUAAAUGUUUCAUUUUAAAGCUGUAACUAGUAGAGCGUUAACCUUUUUGUUAACUUAAAAAACAAAAAUUACAGGUGCACAGAGUUCACGUAGAGGGCCUUUACGUCGCAAAAAAAAAAAACGUGCCAAAUUUCAUAUUUUUGAAAAUGGAGUCGUUGAUUUUUAAUACAGCAAUUUAAAAAAAAAAUGGCUUGAAAAAAUAAUCAAGAUCCAACGAGGAUUGAAGAGACUACGGUUUCGAAAGUUGAUUAGGUGGAUAACAAUUUUCUUUGCAUGUCAUCUCCACCUGAUGGAGAGAAGACACGAAGGUUGAAACGCGUACAGGAGAAAACAUCAGCGAUUCGUCGAAUGUCCGUCAACAGAGGGCCGACGCUAACGUGAAUAAUGCACGCACUGGUUAACAAAGCCUCUCGUAAUAUCUUAGCAUAUCAUAAAAUUUGAAAUGCUUCCUGUGAUGUGAUUGAAUAUCAAAGAAAAAAUUGUCAUUGAUGACGUAAACAAAUAAUAAUAAUAAUCAAAAGAAACUGAGGCCCAUUUCUAAUGACAUUCAAGUUUGUGCUUGUUAUCCAACCUUUAAUAGUUUUUUUUCUUGAAUUACUCGUUACGUCAAAACUCGUCGAGUAUAGAUUGGA